rnacentral:lncRNA from 1 species
AAUUAUGUUGUGUGUGUGUUUUUUUUUUUAAUGUUGUGUGUUUACUUUUGGAAUAAAAUUAAAUUUAUGGAAUUUCAAUUUUUUGUUAGGUCAAAUUGUUCAAAAUAUUAAAUUAUGAUGUUAUUUAAAAAGGUUAAAUGAAGAAAAGUUCUCCAUAAAAAAAUAAAUAAAUAAAAAUUAGACUUAAACCAUUUUAAAACAAUUUAAUAAAGUUGCGGACUUAAAAUUUGAGUCCG